rnacentral:rRNA from 1 species
CACGUAGGGGGCGAGCGUUGUCCGGAUUUAUUGGGCGUAAAGAGCUCGUAGGCGGCUCGGUAAGUCGGGUGUGAAACCUCCAGGCUCAACCUGGAGACGCCACCUGAUACUGCUGUGGCUAGAGUCCGGUAGGGGAGUGUGGAACUCCUGGUGUAGCGGUGAAAUGCGCAGAUAUCUGGAGGAACACCGGUGGCGAAGGCGGCAUCCUGGACCGGUAUUGACGCUGAGGCGCGAAAGCCAGGGGAGCAAACGGG